rnacentral:tRNA from 1 species
AAGGCUUUAUCUUAAUAAAAGAGGCUGGGUUGCAUCCAGAGGAUGUGGGUUAGUGUCCCGCAAGUCUUG